CGGCCUGAGGUCGGACGAGGCUACCCGCUGAAUUUAAGCAUAUUACUAAGCGGAGGAAAAGAAACUAACGAGGAUUCCCUCAGUAACGGCGAGUGAAGCGGGACGAGCCCAGCGCCGAAUCCGGCCGCUUAUGGAGCGGACGGAAUUGUGGCGUGAUGAAUUCGCUUCGAGCGCGGACCGGCUGCCCACGUCCUUCUGAUCGAGGCUUCAU
rnacentral:ncRNA from 1 species